rnacentral:rRNA from 1 species
AUUGAACGCUGGCGGCAGGCCUAACACAUGCAAGUCGAGCGGAUGAAGGGAGCUUGCUCCUGGAUUCAGCGGCGGACGGGUGAGUAAUGCCUAGGAAUCUGCCUGGUAGUGGGGGAUAACGUCCGGAAACGGGCGCUAAUACCGCAUACGUCCUGAGGGAGAAAGUGGGGGAUCUUCGGACCUCACGCUAUCAGAUGAGCCUAGGUCGGAUUAGCUAGUUGGUGGGGUAAAGGCCUACCAAGGCGACGAUCCGUAACUGGUCUGAGAGGAUGAUCAGUCACACUGGAACUGAGACACGGUCCAGACUCCUACGGGAGGCAGCAGUGGGGAAUAUUGGACAAUGGGCGAAAGCCUGAUCCAGCCAUGCCGCGUGUGUGAAGAAGGUCUUCGGUUUUAAAGCACUUUAAGUUGGGAGGAAGGGCAGUAAGUUAAUACCUUGCUGUUUUGACGUUACCAACAGAAUAAGCACCGGCUAACUUCGUG